rnacentral:rRNA from 1 species
AUUGAACGCUGGCGGCAGGCUUAACACAUGCAAGUCGAGCGGGGUGAUGGUGCUUGCACUAUCACUUAGCGGCGGACGGGUGAGUAAUGCUCAGGAAUCUGCCUAUUAGUGGGGGACAACAUCUCGAAAGGGAUGCUAAUACCGCAUACGUCCUACGAGAGAAAGCAGGGGAUCACUUGUGACCUUGCGCUAAUAGAUGAGCCUAAGUCGGAUUAGCUAGUUGGUGGGGUAAAGGCCUACCAAGGCGACGAUCUGUAGCGGGUCUGAGAGGAUGAUCCGCCACACUGGGACUGAGACACGGCCCAGACUCCUACGGGAGGCAGCAGUGGGGAAUAUUGGACAAUGGGGGGAACCCUGAUCCAGCCAUGCCGCGUGUGUGAAGAAGGCCUUAUGGUUGUAAAGCACUUUAAGCGAGGAGGAGGCUCUUUUGGUUAAUACCCAAGAUGAGUGGACGUUACUCGCAGAAUAAGCACCGGCUGACUCUGUGCCAGCCGCCGCGGUAA